CAAAGGUCGGCCCAUGACUCUGCUCAUGACCGAAGGCCGAUGCCGCGCUUUUCUGUUUGAAUGUGGACGGUUAUUUAUCUCUUAGCAACCCACCAGAGAGAAGGCGACUCAUCCGGGAUAUCUGUGGUUUCAGGAGUUGCCAUGGAAACAGGGCGGCAACACAACACCUGACAGGAAAACUCGGUCUCUCGCUAAUGUUGUCACUGCUUUUAGGAGGACAGAAAUAAACCCUCCACAACAGAUGGGAAGCUACAAGGUUUCAAAAUUUCUUAAGGGAGCUGCUGACAGCAGGAAAU